rnacentral:rRNA from 1 species
UACGUAGGUGGCGAGCGUUAUCCGGAAUUAUUGGGCGUAAAGAGCGCGCAGGUGGUUGAUUAAGUCUGAUGUGAAAGCCCACGGCUUAACCGUGGAGGGUCAUUGGAAACUGGUCGACUUGAGUGCAGAAGAGGGAAGUGGAAUUCCAUGUGUAGCGGUGAAAUGCGUAGAUAUUAGGAGGAACACCGGUGGCGAAGGCGGCUUACUGGACUGUAACUGACGCUGAGUCACGAAAGCGUGAGUAGCAAACAGGAUUAGAUACCCCUGUA